GCUACACAUGCAGUCGAGGGGUAACAGAGAAGCUUGCUUCUGCUGACGACCGGCGCACGGGUGCGUAACGCGUAUGCAACCUACCUCAUACUGGAGAAUAGCCCUUGGAAACGAGGAUUAAUACUCCAUGGUAUCAUUCUUUCGCAUGUUAGAAUGAUUAAAGAAUUUCGGUAUGAGAUGGGCAUGCGUCCCAUUAGCUUGUUGGUGAGGUAACGGCUCACCAAGGCAACGAUGGGUAGGGGGCCUGAGAGGGUGGUCCCCCACACUGGUACUGAGACACGGACCAGACUCCUACGGGAGGCAGCAGUGAGGAAUAUUGGUCAAUGGAGGCAACUCUGAACCAGCCAUGCCGCGUGAAGGAUGACGGCCCUAUGGGUUGUAAACUUCUUUUAUAUGGGAAGAAACUUAUCUACGUGUAGAUAACUGACGGUACCAUACGAAUAAGGAUCGGCUAACUCCGUGCCAGCAGCCGCGGUAAUACGGAGGAUCCAAGCGUUAUCCGGAUUCAUUGGGUUUAAAGGGUCCGUAGGCGGAUUUUUAAGUCAGUGGUGAAAGCCGACAGCUCAACUGUCGAACUGCCAUUGAUACUGGAAAUCUUGAGUACAAAUGAAGUAGGCGGAAUGAGUCAUGUAGCGGUGAAAUGCAUAGAUAUGACUCAGAACACCGAUUGCGAAGGCAGCUUACUAACAUGUAACUGACGCUGANGGACGAAAGCGUGGGGAGCGAACAGGAUUAGAUACCCUGGUAGUCCACGCCGUAAACGAUCAUCACUCGCUGUUGGCGAUAUACUGUCAGCGGCCAAGCGAAAGUAUUAAGUGAUGCAMCUGGGGAGUACGC
rnacentral:rRNA from 1 species